UACGUAGGGUGCGAGCGUUAAUCGGAUUUACUGGGCGUAAAGCGUGCGCAGGCGGCCCGUUAAGACAGGUGUGAAAUCCCUGGGCUCAACCUAGGAAUUGCGCUUGUGACUGGCGGGCUCGAGUACGGUAGAGGGGGGUGGAAUUCCUGGUGUAGCAGUGAAAUGCGUAGAGAUCAGGAGGAACACCGAUGGCGAAGGCAGCCCCCUGGGCCUGUACUGACGCUCAUGCACGAAAGCGUGGGGAGCAAAC
rnacentral:rRNA from 2 species